rnacentral:lncRNA from 1 species
ACCACACGACCGAGGAGGGCGGCGUGUGCUCCAGCGAAUCCAGCCUGUUCCGAAGGGUGAGGGACAUGUUACACCUGUACGGUAAUGGCGUCGAGGACAAGAUCACGUCGUUGUUCAGCCGGAGGGGCAGCGGGCUUGCCCGGGGACAGUCCAAGGAGAACCUUCGGGUCGAGGUGCGAGCCGCGGCCGGGGAAAGCUGACGUGGUCAGGAUCAGGUGGACUGCAGCUCUCAUGUAAGGAUGCUACUCUAGCUUGCUUCAUAUUUUCCAUUGUACAAUUAGUGAUUACUGAAUUCUGUUGGUUAACACUUCCAUCCAUGCUUGUUCAGCUUCAUAAUUAGAAGUUUGCAUAGGUGCGCAAUUUUGCUGGCAAAAGUAGGAAGCAAUUCUAAUUAUUAUUUUUAUCCGGCAGCGGUAUCUUGAUGUGCAGAAAUUCCAGGAUUUUGGGACACCGAGUGCUCCCCCAAUUGCACGAGAUGGGGAGGUGGAUGGCAUUUUCGAUGCAAUUGGUGAGAGCAAUGACCACUUCUUAUUGCAAACAUUUUUUUUUGUAUUUCCGUUUGCUGGAAAAGAUAAUUAGACCAUUACUUGAUGUGCAAAUAGCUGACAUGAAUAGAGGCUUUGAGAAGACAGAGAUCUCAUCAGUGGCGGAUAUACUGGCUCAAGAUGUUCAUGAGCUUCCUACGAGGUGCAGUAGAUAAUAAUUUACAUUUUGGAGUAGUUCAAGCACAUGAUUGCUUUUUUCCGCGUAACAGAAAAAAUGCAAUUCAGAUCAAAUGUUCAGGCGGAUGGUGUUCAGAUGCCGUACAUCGUGAACAAUUUAUUAGCUCAGAUACCCAGCUUCACAACUAAGUGCGUUUUUCAUUUACUUGCUACCAAUCUCUAGAUGUUUCAUCUGUUUCCUGUUCUUAACAAUCGACCACUUUUUUACUUGACAGUGUCCAAACUGCAUGGCGAUCAUUUGUUGCAUAUGAGAGAACAUGGGCUCUCUCAGAGCUCAGGCGAUUCUGGUCGUCCGAUGCGUUUGCUUGAUGCGUUUUCGGGCGUUGGAUCGAGCGGUGGGCGGAGCUGGGCCGUCGGAUGGGACUCGUUCCCCUGGAGCAAUGAAUAGUUACCCCGCGGGAAAAGAUCUCGUGCCACCGCGUGUGAAUUCGGUGCCCCACCGAGGGCAUUUUCGUCUUUCAACAUACCCGAGGCCAUAUGGCUUCCUCUGAUUCGUGGUUUCAUCCCCAAUCCGGUGACAAGCUAGGGUUCCGUUUUGUCGUCUCUCCCACGCAUCUCUCGUGCAGCCGCCGCUCUCGCUCCUCUCCAUCACUCCGGCCCGAGCCGCCGCUGCUCCUCUGCGCCUCCCUCCUCCUCCAUGCGUGAUAGUACCGGCCGUUCCUUGUGCUAGCCCCACGCGGCCACGACGGGCGGCGGAGCCAUCAGGAACGGUGACGGUGGGCUGAUGCUCUGCAGGUCGCCAUGUGCGCGGAGGUGACGACAGGAGGGCGUCGGCCUUUUCCAACUCGAGGAGGAGGAGGAGGGUGGUAUGGAUCUCUCCUCCCCUGUCGUCAUCACGAGAGGAGAGGGAGAACGGCCGGCUAUGGCGGCGGUCAGAUCCACGCUGGGAACAGGAGACUGAUGCCAACGCCAUGGAGCUACUCUGCUGUUCGUCAAGGUCCGACCCCAGGGAGUGCCGACGCUCUUCCUCUUUCUCAUCUUCGAUUUCAUCUUCUUGCUCUUCUUCGAUUUGAUUUACGUACUUGCUCUUUCUCGUCUUCGAUUUGAUUUGAUUUACUUCUCUUCCUAUUACUCGCGCCGGCAGCCUCCCAAAGCAACUGAAGGUCGCUUGCUCCUCAUCAACAACAUACAAAGCUUGGGCUGACCUAGGACUACGGCUACGGCCGCUUCUCUGACCACACGACCGAGGAGGGCGGCGUGUGCUCCAGCGAAUCCAGCCUGUUCCGAAGGGUGAGGGACAUGUUACACCUCUACGGUAAUGGUGUCGAGGACAAGGUCACGUCGCUGUUCAGCCGGAGGGGCAGCGGGCUUGCCCGGGGACAGUCCAAGGAGAACCUUCGGGUCGAGGUGCGAGCCGCGGCCGGGGAAAGCUGACGUGGUCAGGAUCAGG